rnacentral:rRNA from 1 species
GCUCCAAUAGCGUAUACUAAAGUUGUUGCAGUUGAAAAGCUCGUAGUUGGAAGUGAAAUGGCUGCCGGCGGGCGGAGCACGCGAGUGCUUGUGUCCGCGUCUGUAGCAGUCGCCCCGAGGGGGGUUUCGGCCCCCCUCCGUUUACUGUGAAGAAAUUAGAGUGUUCAAGCAGGGCUCGUGCCUCUGCAUAUACCAGCAUG